rnacentral:rRNA from 1 species
AGCAUAUCAAUAAGCGGAGGAAAAGAAACCAACAGGGAUUGCCCCAGUAACGGCGAGUGAAGCGGCAACAGCUCAAAUUUGAAAUCUGGCCUCGGCCCGAGUUGUAAUUUGUAGAGGAAGCUUUUGGCGAGGCACCGCCUGAGUCCCCUGGAACGGGGCGCCAUAGAGGGUGAGAGCCCCGUAUAGGUGGAUGCCGAGCCUCUGUAAAGCUCCUUCGACGAGUCGAGUAGUUUGGGAAUGCUGCUCAAAAUGGGAGGUAAAUUUCUUCUAAAGCUAAAUAUUGGCCAGAGACCGAUAGCGCACAAGUAGAGUGAUCGAAAGAUGAAAAGCACUUUGAAAAGAGGGUUAAACAGCACGUGAAAUUGUUGAAAGGGAAGCGCUCGUGACCAGACUUGCGCCGGGCGGAUCAUCCGGUGUUCUCACCUGUGCACUCCGCCCGGCUCAGGCCAGCAUCGGUUCUCGCGGGGGGACAAAGGCCUGGGGAACGUAGCUCCUCCGGGAGUGUUAUAGCCCCGGGCUCAAUGCCCUCGCGGGGACCGAGGUUCGCGCAUCUGCAAGGAUGCUGGCGUAAUGGUCACCAGCGACCCGUCU